rnacentral:rRNA from 1 species
GGAAAGGCGCGCGAUACAGGGUGACAGCCCCGUACACAAAAAUGCACAUGCUGUGAGCUCGAUGAGUAGGGCGGGACACGUGGUAUCCUGUCUGAAUAUGGGGGGACCAUCCUCCAAGGCUAAAUACUCCUGACUGACCGAUAGUGAACCAGUACCGUGAGGGAAAGGCGAAAAGAACCCCGGCGAGGGGAGUGAAAAAGAACCUGAAACCGUGUACGUACAAGCAGUGGGAGCACGCUUAGGCGUGUGACUGCGUACCUUUUGUAUAAUGGGUCAGCGACUUAUAUUCUGUAGCAAGGUUAACCGAAUAGGGGAGCCGAAGGGAAACCGAGUCUUAACUGGGCGUUAAGUUGCAGGGUAUAGACCCGAAACCCGGUGAUCUAGCCAUGGGCAGGUUGAAGGUUGGGUAACACUAACUGGAGGACCGAACCGACUAAUGUUGAAAAAUUAGCGGAUGACUUGUGGCUGGGGGUGAAAGGCCAAUCAAACCGGGAGAUAGCUGGUUCUCCCCGAAAGCUAUUUAGGUAGCGCCUCGUGAAUUCAUCUCCGGGGGUAGAGCACUGUUUCGGCAAGGGGGUCAUCCCGACUUACCAACCCGAUGCAAACUGCGAAUACCGGAGAAUGUUAUCACGGGAGACACACGGCGGGUGCUAACGUCCGUCGUGAAGAGGGAAACAACCCAGACCGCCAGCUAAGGUCCCAAAGUCAUGGUUAAGUGGGAAACGAUGUGGGAAGGCCCAGACAGCCAGGAUGUUGGCUUAGAAGCAGCCAUCAUUUAAAGAAAGCGUAAUAGCUCACUGGUCGAGUCGGCCUGCGCGGAAGAUGUAACGGGGCUAAACCAUGCACCGA